AACUUAAUCCCCAAAAUUACCCUCUUCUACGUAUUAUUAAGUUUUCAAAACUCACCGAGGUAGAGUCGUAGAAAGAAGAGAAGAGAAUGGCGAUCGAUAAAACACUAGGUUCUUUACCGUCGGUGUAGCUGCCAUUCAGUCGCCAGUCCGCCGCCGUUGCAGUCGUCAAUUCUGCCGCAACAGUUAUCGAAGGAAGCUCAUAAAUCGAGCCACCUCCUCUAUCAACAUUAUAGUUUAAGAUCUGGUUGCGUUGUAACUAUGGUUGCCGCUGCAGUUUCCACCGCCAUUGCUGCUCAGUUUUCGCCAUCGUUGUCGUUGUAGUUUCUGUAGUCGAAAGCUUCUGAAUCGAGCCAUUGUUUUAGAUCUACUUCUCCUUCGACUUGCCACUGGUAUUCUUCUUCUUCUCCAUAUUUCACUUGUCUCUAUUUUUCUGCUUCUUUGAAGUUCUAAUUGAGUAGCCAGCUUAGAGUAAUCAUUCAAAUGUGUUAAAUUGGUGCCUAAUACCGUACUUGUUUCAACAAUAAAGCAAUUGCUAUUUGGUUAUUACGUUAACUGGACUCGUGAUUAUGGAAUUUUACCAUUGUGUGACAUCCUGCAAAUUGAAAUGGAAUUGGAAAUGAAAAUGACUUGGCUGAAUAUAGUUGCAUGCUUUUACUUGUUCAUUCUUGUCACAAUUUCAUGUUUCAUUGGGAUAUUUUACAUUUCUACAUUUCUGCAAAUUGUUUCAGAUAUUAUGAUUGCAAGAUAUUAUAAAUUGAUAGUAGUGUAGUUUUUCAAUUUCAUCUUGGACUAAGAUCUUGAGAAUAGUAAAGGUUUCAUAUAAUAUACGAGUAUUGCAUUGUCUUUAUUAUUGUUUUGGUUACCAAUUUUGUUCUUUAUUACUUCUCUUACAAUUAUUCUUAACUGCUGAAGAAUACUUAGCCAAUUCUUAGUUGUAAAUGGCAUUUAGUCUUUUUGUUGUUGAAAGAUUAGAUUACCUUGCUUUUCUUUAAGUGUAUACAAACCUUAGUAACUAGUUUAUAUUUAAAAGAAUUUCCUUAUCUUGGAUUUAUCCUUUUUCUCUUAGUAACCAACGCAUUUUCAAAUUUGCAUUUUGUAUUUUUAUUCUCUGUUCUAUAGUUUCUUUGUUUUGUUUCUAUGGUGAUGUUGUGUUGUCUUUUAAAUUAUGCAAAUUGAUGCAUAUAUAAUGUAUUAUGAUUUUGGCUUUUGAGGAAUUAGCUCCUUCAGUUAAAACUUUUGGUGAACCUUCCGUUGGUGAGAACACACGUCUUCUACUUCCCUCAAGGACACAGUCACAGCGUCUUUGAAGAAAGAUGUGGAUGGACAGAUUCCUAACUAUCCCAAUCUUCCAUCCAAGUUGUUGUGUCUCCUUCACAAUGUUACUUUGCAUGCUGACCCAGAAACUGAUGAAGUUUAUGCUCAGAUGACACUUUAACAUGUGCCUUCUGUAAGCAUCAUUUUGGAAUGUCUCAAAUGCUUUAUAAUUCUAUAACACUAUGAUAUGCCAAACAUCAAUUUGUAUGAUACGAAGUUUUCUAUUAAUUUAGAUUGUAAAGAAAAAAGGCUUGAACCAAUGGCGAUUGGAUUUUUAAUUGAGGGAGCUAAUUCCUUAGAAAAUGGUGAAAAAUGCAUGCAGUAAAAUGCUGCCUUUUGGAAUAAGAAAGUUUAAACAAAUUUCAAACAGAAGCAUUCCUUCUCCUAUUUCUGCUUCCCCACUUCACCAAAAAGGAUAUUGGUGUGGGAAGAUGGAUUCUGCAACUUUGCUGCGUCAGGAGCAGCACCUGAAAUAAACUCUGGUGAUUGUCCUAAUAAUAAUAAUCAUAAUAAUAAUAAUGGUUCUUCUUCUUCUGUUUAUGUUAUGUGAUUAUCAAUAAUACAAUUAUUAAUUAUUAUUAUGAUUAGUGGAAUUGAAUAAGUGCAGGUUGAUAGGAAAAGUUGCUGCUGAUCACAGUCACAAAUGGAUAUACAAAGAGCCUAAUGAACAAGAAAUCAACUUCUUGUCAGUGUGGCAUAAUUCAUCUGAUUCGGUUAAUACUACUUAUUAAUUAAUUCAUUAAUAAUCUUACUCUUAAUUACAACUUCAUGAUUUCAUGCUUAAUUAUAUUCUUAAUUACAACAUCUUAGGACUUGGGAAGCACAGUUCCAAUCUCGAAUAAAGACCAUAGCUUUCAUUGCUGUAAGAGAAGGUGUUGUUCAAUUGGGAGCAAUUCACAAAGUUCUGUCUCUACUCUAUAUAUAUGAUUUGAAAUAAUUAAGUGUGUAAUUGUGGUUAAUUAGUGAUUAAUGAAUUAAGGUGAUUGAUGACUUGAGCUAUGUGGUUCUACUGAGGAAGAAAUUCAGCUACACAGAAAGCAACAUAAAUUAACUUGAUAAUGUUAAAAGGUCUUUUAGGAUUGGACCUUCAGUGUAAUUAUAUACUAUUAAUGUUAAAAUUUUAGAGCUUAGUUUGUGUGUAUGCUUUAAAUCUUUUUUUAUGUGUAUUUGUUUUAUCUAAUUAGAUGAUAUUGAAAUAUUAAAGUUGUUUCAUUUUACUUUUUAAAGAAAAACAAUAAUAGUUAUGUAG